UAAGCCCGAGGUCAAGCUUGGAAGUGGUCAUCCAAUGUAAGUGCGUUCUUUUUCCGCCGCCACUUCUCCCAAAAGGGCUUGACCUUAGGGUGGAGGA
rnacentral:ncRNA from 1 species